UCUCAUCUCUUUUCCUUCACCCAAACCACCUGAAUUCAUCCCCCCAUGAAAACCUUCCAUUUCAACACCUUGUCCAGUUAAGCUUACGGCUUUCCAUGAGAAACUGCCAGGAAACUGCUCCUAGCACAGUAGUUUGUGCUCUGCAAGAACCUGUCAAGGGUUUGGAGAAUGUAUGAAUUUGGAGUAUUAGACAAAGAGGUGCACCAGCGGCAACUUUAAAAAUACUGCAAAAAGGAGAAACUCCAGAAAAUACACAUGGAAAAAUUGCUCCCGUGUUUCAAAAUAUUUACAGCUUAAUAUUUACAGGCCACCCAAAGUGUGGCGGUUAGUGGUCCUUGCCCUGCCGACGUCAGUGACAAGGCAGAGGGCUGUUGGGGUGGGGCGCUUCUGGGAGAGGCACAGGGCUUCCCCUAGCCUUCUCUCCCGGUUAGUUUUGGCUGGAGGGACGUGGCUAUGAGAAUGAUUUCCACUAAAGCCAUCCUCCACGGAAACCACAAAGACUAGUUAACCUUUUCUCCAUGGAAUAGAAAAGCAUGCUUGUGUGAGUGUGUAGGAGGAGGAGCGGGAAUGUGGACAGAGGGAGGGGUAGUGUAAUAACUCAUGUAGUCAUAAGACUUGCCCGUUGGUAGUUACUAGUAUUCCAGACACUUCUUAAUGCCAGACAAAUGCCCCAAGCCUCAGCAUGUCUGGCUCAGAGAUCUAUUCAACUGAUAGCAGCCGUUUCUUGUGCAGAGAGCAGACCUUUCAGGCAGCAGUGCUCUAAGGCUGAUCAAACAUAACAUUGUUCUCAAAAGGAAGAAUGGAAAGGUUUGUUUCAGAGUCACAACUUUUUUUUUUUUUUUUCCAAAGAGGCACUCAAGUUGUUUUAACAAGUUGCUGCAGAACUUGGGCUUCCUGAGGUGAGCCUGUUGCUCAGUGCCUGUACUGUACCAAAUUCCAGAGAAGGAGGGAUCAGAAAGUUAGUCAUUAAAAAGGAAGGGGAAAAAAAGCCCCAGGCACUUCAUGCCUGGAAAUGAUGUAAGACGCAGCCACUCCUCUGUUAGAACUACAAUCAAACAAUGCUCAGGCAAUCCACAGCAGCUGCUCUCCAAAUGUCAGCACCAGCCCCGUCAACAGAGCUUGAAAGCCACCAAGCUGAAGGACUUUGUGCUGUGCCUUUCUCGCCCACAUUUUCCCCAAGCACUCUCAGGAACCUGGCAACAGCCAGCUGUAUCUCCCGCACCACUCCCCACACCGACCCCCUCCCUCCCUCCCUCCCUCCCAACCAAAAGGCUUGGAAAACAGUACAUUGGGCCUGGCAAUCCUACUCUCGAGUGCCCCCUGGUGGCCACGCUUGGAACAUCACCGAUAUAUCUUGAAAUCCGCUGCUCAGCUCUACGUGGCCUGCUGGCAAGUUUGGAAUGUGAAGCUGGUAGAAAAGCCUGGGGUGAGGGGCUCACCUUCAGCAAGCCCAAAGGGACUCCUGGAGGCUCCUGGCUCAGAAGGGCAGAGACCUGUGGCUCUAGAUUCCAGAAAGUCCACCUCCACAUCACCCAGACAGCUGCCGCCACAUCCCGCUGCUUCAGAAGCGGAAGUAAGGCGCAUUUAGGACCUUUCCGGGGCAUGAGUGAAGUUCUUAAAUCACUUGAUUACCCCCACUGCAGGAUGAGGAUGCCAAGCACAGAAGAAAUGAUUUGCCCAAGGGUCUGGCCCCCAGGAUGCUGGGAGAAGCGGACUUCACCUGGGGCGCCAGCAGACCUAUUGUCUGUAGGGGAAAACAACUCUUCCAGCAGACCUGGGCGGUGGCUCUGAAAGCACAAUGGAACCCUAAGAGGCACAGAAACCAGCCCAGGAGCACCGCCUAACUGAGUAGUAAGGACCCAGGUCCCAGGAACAGCCUGUCCACUAGAGGACAGAAGGAGAGUCUGCUCAACUCCCGAGGCCACCUGCGUAUUCUUCAUUUAUUAGAGGAAACCGUGACCUCUCAGUUAAAGUUGCUGAAAUAACACCCUGGAUACAUCACAGCAGACUUAAACCUGCAGCUGCAGAAUGCGAGUGUAUUCCAGACUCCUCCAAGUCCCUCAAGGCAACCUUCUGUAAGAAAACACCGACUGCGCCGACAGACUGAGGGUAAGACAUCGACCUGCUUUGGUCACGCCGGAAGCUGACUAAUCUACAUGUGGCAGAAGCCUGAGGAUGAUGUCUCAUCAGGAUGGCCACCCCAUCGUAUUAUCCAAUACUAUGGCCUCACAACUUGGGCCCAAGAUGGGAGCUGGGGUUACCGGACCUCUAUAUACAAGCAGUUCUUGAGAUCAUAACCAAUGAUACUGCUACUGCCUUAGAGCUACUAGCCAGGCAACAAUCCCAGGUGCGGUCAGCUAUCUACGAAAACCUCCUAGCCUUAGAUUAUCUAUUAGCGGAAGAAGGAGGAAUGUGCGGAAAGUUUAACCAGACUGAUUGUUGCCUCAAAAUAGAUGACAAUGGCAAAGCCGUGACUGCCAUAGCUACUAAUAUUAGGAAGACAGCUCAUGUACCCGUCCAAAGUUGGAAAGGAUGAGACCCUAGUAGCCUCUUUGGAGGCUGGUUCUCCAAUUUUAGUCGCUUUAAGACCUUAGUUGAGAUAGCACUCCUUCUCCUCCUCAGGACCUGCCUCCUCCUCCCGUGCCUAUUGCCUCUUGUUAUCCGGUCAACUACCUCCCUAAUAGAAGCUAUAAUAGAACGAAAAACUGCAGCAAAAGUCCUCAUGCUAAGGAGGUACCAGCCUCUAAAACAAAAAUUAUAAGAAGGACUCAGUCCUGGGUCUGAGCAUCAAAGCAGGGAAUGUGGCAGCCUGACCCUGCCUGACCAUUUCCUGCUCAUACAAAUUAGUUCCUGUCUGCACCCCCUAUCCCAGGACUCUCCAGCUGAUGCGGCAGUCCGAAGACCCGCUUAAAUAAUUAAGCCGGUUUCCUUAGAGUUUGGCAGCCAAUCAAUGUUCUCCUUAUGUUCUCCUUCCUUAUAGCUGUGUAGGAAUGUGGAAGUACAAGAUUGUAUAAAACUGCCCGCCAUAUUUAAAUCGGGACUCAGCCUUUGGAUAAGAAGCCGCUGAGCCGAUGCCGGCAUCAAUAGAUGCUGCUUCCUGCUUACAGUCUCAGUGUCCCAUCUCUUUGUUCCAGAAUCCCGCAACAAGAUAAUAUCAAAAAAAAAAGUAGUAACAUUCAUUUUGAUAAUUCAGUUUUUGAGCCAAUAUAAUAAAAUAAAAAUAACAACAAAACAAUAUAAGCAAACAUCUAAAAUAUAUCCUGUGCCUAUGUGCCAAACAGUUUACUAGGUCUUUCAACAUGAUCUCAUUUUAUUUAUCUGGAGCGUAAAGCAGCUUUAACUCCAUUUUACAGAUGAGGAAAGUAUAAUUUAGAGAGAGUAACUUGCUUCAUAUUACAACCCAACUAAGAAGUUAUGGCUACAAAGUUUGAACCUAAGAAUGCCCUUUCUACUAUUAUAGACUUUUUUUCAGUAGAGUAUGUUCCAAACUCAGUGUUAGCAGUUAUACAUGAGCAGGCCAUAUAUAAAAUCAGCAAUGAGGUACAGAAGACUUAAAACAAAAUUAACUUGCCUCUAUUAUCUCCUAAGGCAUAUGUUCAACAAACGCUAUACUCAACAGUGCUGUAUCCAGUAGCUCUCCGUUUUCACCCAAGUGUACAUGUUGAUUAAAACUAGGAAAUACCUGAAAUCCAGACAUAUCUUUAAAACAUUUCAGACUCACAAAACUUUUGGGCUAGUAUCUGAUUUUGCAUUUUGUUGAUAUAUUAUUAUAAAAACGCUUUGACUUUUCCUUCAGUGAAACCAAACAAAAGUCAUAAUGUAUGUUCUUCCAAAUUAAAGCAAUAAUGGCUUCAACAAAACUGUUGUAUAUACAGCUGUGGCAAUAUUUAGAUAUGUAAGCAUCCUGGUUGAAUACCAAAUACACACAGGAUCAAUAUCAAGUUGACUUUACAGUUGAUUUUAAUGGGCAUGAUGGAUAAUUUGAAAGGAUGUGAUUUCCACAUUCACAUUUAACAUUAGGUGAUCUCAACAGUUAUCUAAAUUAUGGUGAGUUCUAAAAUUAACAGUGAGUUCAGACUAUCAUUUUAGAUUAAAAAUGUAAAGGCCAUUUUUCUCAAAUUGAGAUUGAAAUGCUAAAAGUGGCUUUGACAGCACUAUUGAAUUGGCCUUGAAGACUACUAAUUAGACCACUGUCCUUAAAAGUUGCCUUCUUACUGUUGAAUUGUACACCUGAAACGUACUGAAUUUCAUUAACCAAUGUUACUAGAAUAAAAAUAAAUAAAUAAUAAAAAAAGAAAUGAUAAACAAACAAAAAUGUUGCAUUUUUAGGCAGCUUAAUAAGGUUGGUUAUUCUUUUAAAGAGCUUUGUUUAUAAUGAAAACUUCAAUAGGUUGCUAAAAAUAAUAAAAACAAACAUAUAAACAUUGAAAUUUACACUCUUAAAAAACAAAAAACAAACAAAAAGAAAAUAAAUCAGUGACUAAAACUGGCAGAUUUUCCUCUAGAGCUUGCUUUUGCCUUAUAAAUUUCUAUUUCCUAUCCCAGGGAGGGCAGUGAAGGGUAGGUUAUGUUGCUUUGGGUACAAACCGUCUUCUGGGUUAUGCUAGUUUGUUGCUAGGUGCUCAAGGUUGUUUAUUCAGCACAAACUACUAGUGUUUGGCUACAGAAGUUCAAAGAUUUAUAGAAGGCUUCUCCGUGGAGAGCUGUAGUUGUUAUUACUUUAGUUCUUAUUCAAAAACUUCCAUAUUCAUGAGCAGUGUUGACAAAUGGCAUGCUCAAGAACACUGUGAACUUUUAAACUACUUCAUAAAAAUAUUAUUAAUAUUGAUGAAAUCUAUCUUUUCUUAUACUUUGUUGAAUCAGCCUGAAAACUUUUCCUCUUCUCCCACCUUCCAGCACUGGAAGAGCAAGUAAGGGGAUGGUCUCAUCCCAUGGGAACACCCCCAGUUGGGGCUGUCAUUGGCCUCUGACACUGUUCACUUGGCCAGCUGUUUCCUGAUCCACAGAGAUGUCAUGGCUCCCAGCUAGGUGAUCAAGAACUCAUCUUAUCUAUUCUUAUAUGAGGAGCUGCUUCCCUCUAACUUCUCUCAAAGUGAAGAAGCAAAGGUUUAUGCUGGUUGUUUGUCUAUAGCUUUGUCCCAAAUGAAACUGACUUUCAACGGCCUGCUAUGGUAUAAUCUUAGUGGAAUGAUCAUUUGUUUGCUAAAUCUUUGGACAAUGGAAAGAGGGAGGGCUGCAGGGAAGUUUGGGGAGUCAGCAGGGGAAGAGGAAGGUGCAGAAGAGAACAAGAGCUUACUGAACACCUACUGUAUUCCAUUCAUUGUGUUAAACAGCUUGUUUCAUCUUGCAGCUCCUUUAAGAAAUAGAGUUCCCCAUUCUAUUGGUGAAGACACUAAGGCAAAUAGUGGUUACUUGCCAAAGCCAUCCAGUUAGUGAUUGCCUUUCUGUUGCCUGAAGACACACCUCAACCCUAACUCCACGACUUCUAUUGCACUGUGCAAAAGAGAGGAUUACAGAUACAAUAGAGAAGGAGGGAGAUGGAAGGGAGGAAGAGGGAAAUAAAAUAAAAAAGAAUAUGAGAGAGCUCUGAAAUGCUGCCAAUAGUUAUUCAAGGUUAAUUCUAUCUGAGGUAAUCCUAAGCAAGGCCACAAAUUAGGCCUACCUUAAGCCAUCUUCUAGUUUCUGGGUCACAUGGAUCCAUCUUUGCCAUUUUAGGAGGGUCUUAGUUUUAGAAAGCUAUUUGGAAAGCUAAAUUUAGAAAACUAAAUUGUCAGCUUAAUGCUUAUCCUUCCCAGAGACAUUGCUAUGUAAUAGAAAAAUUCAGUCAAAAGUAUGAUAAGUCUCUGCAAAAUACAUUUGGAAAGAGCAUUUAUUUGCUCAGUGAUCCAGCUUCCAAGUUAGCCUUGUAAGCAGGAGCUGUUUUUUUUUUCCCCCAGAAACAACUUUCUUGAGUCUUGCUUUCAGUUUCUACAGUAUUCCAUUUUUAGAUUCCUGACACACUGCUACCUUUCACUCCGGUGGAACUGGAAGGAAUUCCUUCCUCAGAGGAAGCCCUUCCUUAUCUCUCUAGCAAUCUGACUUGAAGGCCUGUAAAGAUAUUUUGUUUUGAUUUACAGUAGUAAAAAUGUGGAAACUUAAUUCUGAAUUUCUUACUAGAAGUAGGUCCAUCAGCUGUCUAUUUGUUAAUAGAUUUACCCCAGUCUAACCUGACAACCAAGCACAUGACUUUGCCCAAAAAGUAGAAAGACAAUGACAAGAACAAAUUCGCCUAGGGAAGAAAUGACAUCGAUACAUUUAAAACACUUUUCAAAUGUUAAAUUCAUUGAGGGUUGCUAUGGACUGAAUACUUGUGUUCUCCAAAAUUCAUAGUUUGAAAUCUUAACCCCCAAGGUGAUGGCAUUAGGAGGUGGAGCUUUUGGGAAGUGAAUAGGUCAUGAUGAUGGAGCCUUAAUGAAUGAGAUUAGUGUCCUUAUAAAAGGGACCCCGGAGAGCCCCCUCAGACCUUCCACCAUGUGAAGAUGCAGAAAGAAGUUGGCAGUCGGCAACCCAGAGAGGGCCUUCACCAGGCAUCAAAUUUGCCAGUGACUAGAUCUUAGACUUCCAGCCUCCACAAUUGUGAGGAAUAAAUCUCUGUUGUUUAAGCCACCCAAUGUAUGAUUACUUUUUAUAUCAACUCUAAGAGACUAAGAUAGGGGUGUUUGGGGAUACAUUCCAUGUCAUAUUAUGGAAAAUAGAAUUUCUUAAGCAAAGUAAACGAGUAUCUCAGUCCUCAACACACAUGUAAGGUCAGAGCUUCAUAAUGGAAAAGCAGCUCUAUUUUCACAGAUUUGCAAUACAGACUUGAAACUGUGCAUAUUGGGAAUUUUUAAAAUGGGAACGAAGAUUGUGUCAAGUUUUUACUUGGUUUAUUUUUUCCUGUACUUGAGGUGUUGUAUUCAUUGGGUCUUAGGCCACGAGGCCGUAGAAAACCACUUUUGAUGUGACAAAAGUCUUAAAUUCCCUGCUUUGGUGGAGAUUGCAAAGAAAUAAAUCACUUUAAAAAUAUCUAAAUAAAACGAAGUAAAAAGAAAAAA